rnacentral:rRNA from 1 species
AAUAUUAAUAGCGGAGGAAAAGAAACCAACAGGGAUUGCCCUAGUAACGGCGAGUGAAGCGGCAACAGCUCAAAUUUGAAAUCUGGCCUUCUGGUCCGAAUUGUAAUUUGUAGAGGAUGACUUUGGUUAGGUACCUUCCGAGUUCCUUGGAACAGGACGCCUUAGAGGGUGAGAGCCCCGUACGGUUGGAUGCCGAUCCUUUGUAAGUCUCCUUCGACGAGUCGAGUAGUUUGGGAAUGCUGCUCUAAAUGGGAGGUAAAUUUCUUCUAAAGCUAAAUACCGGCCAGAGACCGAUAGCGCACAAGUAGAGUGAUCGAAAGAUGAAAAGCACUUUGAAAAGAGGGUUAAAUAGUACGUGAAAUUGUUGAAAGGGAAGGGUUUAUGACCAGACCUUUGCGUUGGGAAUCAUCCGGUGUUCUCACCGGUGCACUUCCCUUCGUUGAGGCCAGCAUCAGUUCUAGUUGGGGGAUAAAGACAUUAGGAAUGUGAUUCCUCCGGGAAUGUUAUAGCCUUUUGUGUAAUACCCUGACCGGGACUGAGGACCGCGCUCGGCUAGGAUGCAGUC